AGAAAACUCAUCUACAGUGAAGUUUCUGUGUUUUCAGGGAACGUCUCAGCCUAAUACAGAUCCAGGCACUUCCAGAGGACAGACAGCAUAGAACAAAUAAAGUGUCUUUAUGGGAAAAAGAGAGGGAGAUUUGGACACAUACAGAGGCACAGGGGAAGAAGGCCAUGUGGAGAUGAAGACAGAAGUUAGAGUGAUGCAGCUCCAAGCCAAGGUAUGCCACGGGGUGCCAGAAGCCACCGGAAACUGGAGGAAGACAUGGAACAGAUUCUCCCUCAGAACCUCCAGAAAGAAUAACCCUGUUAAUGCUCUGAUUUCAUACUUCUGGCCUCCAGAUGCAGAGAAUCAACAGUUGUUUUAAGCCACCGAGUUUGUGGUGAUUUGUUACAGCAGCCCUAGGAAGCUAAUAUAUAACCCAUAGUCCUCAAUUUCAG
rnacentral:lncRNA from 10 species